rnacentral:rRNA from 1 species
UACGUAGGGGGCAAGCGUUGUCCGGAUUCAUUGGGCGUAAAGAGCGUGUAGGCGGCCAGGUAGGUCGGUUGUGAAAACUGGAGGCUCAACCUUCAGAGGUCGACCCGAAACCAUCUGGCUAGAGUCCGGGAGAGGAGAGUGGAAUUCCUGGUGUAGCGGUGAAAAUGCGCAGAUAUCAGGAAGAACACCCCUGGCGAAAACGGCUCUCUGGGAA